ensembl:lncRNA
UUAUUAUAAAAGGAGCAAGUUUACUCUGGAAAUUUGGGGCAACUAGAAGAAUUAAAAAUCAUCAGUUAACAAUAUCAGAGAGAGCCUCUAAGGACAGAUCAGGUGGAAACUAAUGGUUCUCACAGCCUGUGAAUAUGACUGGUAGAGCUUAAGCUCACUCAUGGCAGCAGGGACUUGGUAGUGUUCACCACUAUACCCAGCAUUGUGAUGGGGCUCAAUAUCCCCCUUGAAGAGAGGAAAGACAUUUGAAUUCCUCAAGCAAAGUAUUCAGGGUAUUGAGAACUAAUAUAGAUUAAAUGGAUAUUGGGAUUUUUUUUUUUAUAUAAUUGAAGUAUAGUUGAUUUGCAAUAUUGUAUUAGUUUCGGGAUUUUUUUUUUAAGGUGGGAAACCAUUUUCUAGAAAUCUUAAAUGUGUAAAAAAUUACAAGUUGUAUUAUUAUUAACUUUCUUCUUUGUUAAGACUAAACAAUCCAAUUUUUCAAUUUGCUUGUUCUCCUUGGAAUUCAUCUCCAGGGAUGCCACAAAAAAGCUUGAAGUUAUGAUACGCUGUAUCCCAGGAACAGUUUGACAGUUUCCUUACUGCUUAUAACCUGCAGUUCCCUACAGAGGCCUCCUCUCCACUGUAGUCUCUGCCAAGUGGUUGUCACAGCAUUAAUUAAACUGGAAGAAUAAAGGCAUUGCAUGUCAUUUUCUAUAUUGAAUGCCUUCAUGUUAUGGACGAAUCUCCAUGGAGAAAUCUGGUACAUAAACUAAAAACAAAUGCCUGCAUGUGGUAUCUGAGACUAUUACAGAAGAAAGAAAACAGGAAAGAAUAUAAGCCAUCUCUGUUGCUUAAAGUGGGGUAGCAGCUGAGUCAAAGCUGGGAUUAUCAGGGGGUGCCUUGGACCUCUGUGGAAACACUUAUCAGUGAGACAAAGACAAGUUUUCAACCGAAGAGUUGUACCUUUUUCAAGAAGUAGAAAAGGCCUUACAGGUCAGCAUCUACAGCCCCUGAAUAUGGAAACAACUGCUCAGUCAUCCACUUACCCUCUCACUGGCAAGUUUUGCAUAUAUGGACUGUCAGAGCAAGAAUCCCAUUGACCUUGUUCAUCUCUCUAUGCCACUGACAUAAGCUUUAGUCUUUGAAUCCAUUGCCUGCCUUCCAAUUCAGUGUCUCCUCCAUGAUGGCUCAUGGCAAAACAAAGCCAAAGCAGCUUAUGGCUUGCAUUGAAGCCCAUGGUCUCUGAAGGAUUCAUGCAGCUGGCUCAGAUGUGCUUGACCUGCCACAGACUUCUCCAAAUUGAAGAGCAAGGUUGUGGAGACAGCGACUGACCAGCUGGCUCCUCACUUUUUUGCCUUAAGAAUUCUCCAUCUUUCUCAUCAUUAAGUACAUGUGCACAAGCAUGAAUACAUGUGUAAACAUGUAUGUAUGUGUCCAAGUGUGUUUGGGUGCCUUUCCAAGAGGACUUUCAAGCAAUUUUCUCCUAACUUCUCCUCCUCAAACUGAUGUGUGCCCUUCCAUCCAACAGAAAAACUUCCUCUGCCUCUUUGUAACCAAGUCCAUUUCCCUAGUUUAAGAGAGAAAAACCUCAACUAGCUCUUUUGUCAAACACAGGGUGUGUAAGAAAGGGGCAUGCUCAUAUCAGAUAUUGCCCAGCACCUAUUUUAGUAGUUAUUCCCUCAGCAUAUCGUCUCCAUGGGUCAGUCAUGGUUAGAGACAGCCCCUGGGCAUCCCAAAUGUAGCUGCUGAACUCGCAGCAUGUCCUCAUUAGCAUAGAUCCAGACUCUGCACAGAUGUAGAGAAAAAACAAGGAAAAAGAAAUCUGUCAUUCAAUUCUUUCAGAGAUUCUGUAAAGGAAAAGGUGGACUGACCAAAUUGCAUAAUUCUCCAACCAACAAGCUCACCAGAAAGUGUGGACUUUCUUUAAAUGAAAGAGCUGAAGAAGAGAGUUUUCUAAAAUGGGGCACAUGUGUUUUUUCCUUUCCUGAGGGAAAACCUGUUCAACUUUGGGUUUCACCGCUCAUAAAUUAUCAAGUUAUUUCUCAC